rnacentral:lncRNA from 1 species
UGGGUCUUCAUACUGUAUGCAGAAUUCACCCUCAAGUGCAAGUUUCUCCUGUAGUCAGAGGCGGCGCCAGGGUAGGGCUUGGUUGGGCUAUAGCCCAAUCAAGAAUUGUGUUAGCCCUACCGUUAGCCCUACCAUAAAACAACCAAGAAAAGUGUGGAGUCCAACAGCGCCCCCACGUCGUAACGGCAUUCAGGCAGCUGCAAUGACAACUGUCACUGAUCUGGGUUCAUUAAGAGUCGGCCUCCAGCAUCCGCCGUUAUUAUUAAUCAACAUGGACUGUGCUGUCUUGAGAUCAGUGGGGAACCUGUCAGUCACUCCUGUGAGCGCGCUUUUAGUGUAUGCUCGACACAGAGACAGUUUGGUUGAAAUUUGAAUUAUCUUUGUUAGAAGCUACCUGGCUGUAAUAGUUAGCGUUAGUGGCUAACAGUCACGUUAUUAAGUUAACGUUAGUAAGCUGGUCAAAAUUUAUCAUGGAUAAAUUUGUUUUUAAACGUUGUCGGACGGAAGAACAGAUGGCGGUGGCAGGCAUUUUGGAUAAAACUACGGACACACCGUUGACACCUGCGGGGGAAGACGACCACUCAGGUCCCGCGUCUCCCAUGUGCCAGGCUCGGCCGGACAAAGAUGAGCAAGAAGAAGAGGAGAUGGAGCAGCAGGAGGAAGAGGACGAGGAAAGGGGCUGGCAUGGUCAGCCACAGCCAACCACUGCCGGCAUGGACACUGGCCAUGAUUCUAAUGCUACCACUGACAUUAGCAAACGACCUGGAGAUGGACCGCAGCGCCCCAUCAGGAAAAAUUACCCUUCAAGGCUAAUAGUUUCUCCUGCCUCCGUCGGAUUAAGAACUAUCUACGGAACAGCAGCGGUGAUACCCGAAACAGCAACUUGGCGCUGCUGUCCAUCAACAAACAAAGGACAAAGACUUUGGAUGUUCAGCGCAUCAUCGACAUCUUUGCCUCCAAUCACAAAAACCGGCGGAUUGUACUCAUUUGAAAAUCUCAACCUAGUGAGUUUCAAUAUUGUUUUUGGAAACUUUAGUGACGUUUUGCGUGUUGUCCGCGUGAUGUUCCUUCCUUGCUGCUGUCUUGUUUCUUGAUUAGCAUAUUAAAUUAGUUGGAGUUGUGUUUUGACUCUUGGCUGUUGUGGUGUAGUAUUGUGUUUUGUUUAAUUGGGUGAUCUGUGUGUCAAAGUUUGGCUUAUUGAGACCAAUCUUAUAUUGGUCUCAUCGCCUUCUAUAUCUGCCAAAUUUUCAGUAUGAUCUACCGGCUGUGCUGUUAACGUAACUACAGUAUUAACGUAACUAGCGUCUCUCUCUCUCUCUCUCUCUGUGUGUGUGUGCGUGUGUGCGUGUGUCUAGCUGUGGGAGGGUGUUGUUUUAUUGAAUAUAUAUUAACAUUGAAAUUCUGGCAUUGAUUUGAGGCCCACGGCUGUAUGGGUUAGCCCCACCGUAGUUGAACCACAAAAAAUACUCUGGCGCCGCCACUGCCUGUAGUCCAUCAUGAAGUCCCUCUAAAGAUUCAGGAGCCCUGGUCAGCCGAAUCUUCCGUAUUAGUUUGGGGUUUAUGUGCACCAAUAGCAACAAAGCCUGUGAAAACAAAGAUAAGAAAACAUUAUUGCAUCAGCAUGUAAACUGCAUUGGUACAUGACGACGACAGAGUCAUUUUAAAACAGCAUUGCGAAUUCUGAAUUCAUAAUUAUUAUGAAUGGAUAUUGAGUAUGUGCAAUGAAUAAACCACACAUUUAAAACAUUGCAGUGUAAAGUAGGGGUGUGACGAGAUCUCGUGCCACGAGAUCUCGCAAGAAAAUCUGUCUCGCAAGAUUUCUGAGCUAUCCAAACUUCUAUUUGUGGCCUGUAGGGGCAGUAAUGCGCCUUUGAUACGUCUAGCCUGCCAGAACCUUACGAAGGAGAAGGAAAAGAAGAAGAGGAGGAGAAGGAGGGGAAGCAGGGGAAGCAGCCAUAAUGACAUCGGAAAAUACCCGUAUUACCGUCGAAGGUGCCCCCGCCACUUUUAAAUGAUUUGUUUGGCAGCAUUUUGGGUACCCGGCGGAAAUUAUGAAUGGCAGUAGAGUGACUGAUAAGACACUGACAAUACCAAGUUGUCAGUGACAUACUUGAUCAGACUCUGUUUGCACUAUUUGCACUCUGUAUUGAUGGAGUAGAACUUUGAUUUGGUUUUGCACAUAAUAUUGUUUGCACUUGAAAAAAAAGAGAAUUAUUUAAUUUAAUUCAUUUUACUUCAACUUUUAUAAAUUUUAGUUUUAGUUUCAAUUUCAUGAAUGUUAAGAGUUAUAAUAAAACAUUUCAAAAUGCAUGUGCAACUCGGUUAAAUAAAAGUCUGUUGGUCCAGUCAUAUAUUUUGUCAUUGUAGUUUUCUUAAAAUCUCGUCUCGUCUCGAUCUCGUGAACCGAAUAUCGUGUCUCGUCUUGUCUCGUGAGCUGAGUGUAUCGUCACACCCCUAGUGUAAAGUCACAAUACCAUUAUACUCAAUGCAGCAGACACACCUUUCGGGUCACCAUCAACUGUCCCUGGUAUGCAGCCAAUGGGUGGUAAUCAUUCAAAGCCUCUGACUCCAGAAUUUCUGUAUCCAUGAAACAACUAUCAAUGAGUUGGUAUGAUCUGUAAUGUUCCAGGAACCAAGACGAUAGCUUUGCAGUGACAAAAUACACUUUCUCAAAGUCCACCAAAAUGUUCAGUAUCUUGAAGAACUCUGGUAGGCCACUGCAUUGACCAGCAGACAGGAUCAUGCCUUUUACACUUUGUGUUCCGAACAAAUGAACAUCUUUGGCAAAUGACACACUAUCUUGACUUGGAUACUUCUUUUGAAUGACCGUCCUGAUUUUUUCAUCUAAAGAUGACAUUUUGACAUUGUCCAUGCUACCAAUGUGCAGUUUUGGUUUGAAUAGUCCUUGGCCAUCGAGGAAAUAUGCCAUCAUUUGUUGAUGUUUAGAAGAGAGAGUCAGUAGCACAUUCCUGAAACAGUGAGCUCACGCAUCACCUUUUUGAAAAAACUGUGCUUAGAUUCAAAUCUAAGUGUCCACUAAAGGUCCAAAGCAGUGUGUGAGAUGUACAUAAUGCUCGAUAAAGUCAUGUUUUGGGCGCAACUUAAAGUAAGGAAAGGUGUCAAUGAGCAACUGCCGAUAUUUUACUCUCCAGGUAACGCAAUAUUUCCUCUGAUAACGUGGUAGACACAACAAUUUCGACUUUCUCUUUGAGGUCCAUCAGAAUUUCCCAUGAUGGUUCCCGUUCUGGUAUAUCAUGAAAGGUAGCAAAUGUAAAAGUACCCAACUUUCGUGUCCACACUGAUUCUCCCAGUUCCAAUGCUAGCCUUUGUAAUUUGCUGCGGCUUGUUGACCUUAUCAGAAAAUUUGUAUGGGAACAGCUUUAUACGUCUAUUCAGUCCAUCAAAUGUAAGGAAUCUUUUUCUAAUCAAUUCUUUCAAACAUAAACAUAACUCCACAGUGAUAACACCUUCAAAAAAGUCGUGCAAAAUAUCUGGGGGGAACCCAGUGACUGGAUCGAAGUAUGACAAGUUACUCAAUACACAGGCUGAUUUAACACCAUUCACACUUUGUUUGUCACUAGACUUGAGCUCUUCAACAAAUGUGUCAUGCUGCCUCACAGUUCUUAAUGGAAAAUCUCUUGGAUCAACAUUCACAAUUUGAUCUUGGCUAAUACAACAAAAUCUGCAGAAUUUUUCUACAUUGAAAGAUUCAUGAAAACCUGCUAAGCUACGAGCACCAAGAUUAUCAGCACAUACACAGAAUAUUGUUCCUUUUACAAACUUAUCUAAAACCUCUACAACAACCCCAUCUCUUUCAAGAGAUUCAACGUCCUUCAUCAAUGGAUAAAGAAAUGAUUCAUACCCAAACUGUUUAACGUCAUUACUCUUUCCAAGAAAAGCCAUCUGAAUUAAGGGGAGCGUAGAAUGAAACUUGCCCGGUAAAUUGAGCAAAACGCAACAGACAGCAUUGAUCUUAUGGAUUUUUUUUAGAUGUCCCCAAAGGAUUACAUAUUUCUAAGUAGUGUAGAAUAUUGGUGUAUUUUAGUGUCUCUCUGUGUUCACAUUUCUAGUCUAGGAACAGGCCAGUGCCUCAAACACUGAUACAAGGUGUUAUUUCCAACAUUCUGCCAUUUGUAAUGAUCAACAAGGAUGAACCAACCUGAUUGUCUGGGACAUAGCCAGGGCCAUAUACCUUAUCAAGGGUGAGAGUGCUUCUGUUCUCUUGUUCGUCAUGUUUUCUUUAAUAUAAUACUCGCCCCAACCCUUUGGUUUGGGGAGAAGAGGGUUCGACAGUCAAGGAACACGUCUCAAAACUGCUCCUCCACUGCUUCCACUAUAGAUUAUUCAACCUAAAUCUGUAUCUCGCUGUAUUACAUCCUGGAAUAAACCAUCUAUUCAACCCUCUGAUCCAACCUGUCAAGUUGCUUUGAUUUCGACUUACUACUACGACGGAAAUUACACAACGCAGAGUCUAUACGAACAGUUUAGAAAUAAGCUGAAAUCUAACAUUUGGUGCCGUGACACCGUCUCGAAGAGAGAGGAGUGAGAAGACGAUAGCCUCUGAAGAUUGCCCUGUGAUCGAGAAGACCGCGCGCCCUGCCUGGGAAGACGUCUGAUCAACGCCUGCCCUGCUGAGGGACCCGCAUCUUCCACCACGCGGCUGAACCAGCGCAUCUCCAUGCGCCACGUGGAAUCAACGGUGACUGAAUCUCAUUCCACACUCUCGACCAAGAGAAAAGAACAAGAAAGUAAUCUUGAAAUAAUCUACACACAUAACCGAUAUUAUUAUUUGUUUUACUAUUAGGCUGCACUACAUUUCAUGAGUAAUGAAGUUGUAUCAUUAAGAGCUUGACGAAGUGAGAACCUG